rnacentral:ncRNA from 1 species
CAUGUAUAAUCGCAAACCGUUUGAAAAAACGGGACGCAAAGCCAGGAAUCUAACGCCCGCAAGGGCUAUGGUCGUCCGGCCGCCGUG